rnacentral:lncRNA from 1 species
AGUGAAGCUUUGAGUUUGUUUGAAACCAGGUGUAAGUGUGUGUGUGUCAGGUUUUGAAAAUGAUUUAAGCCUAAAAACCGUGUCAUAUUUAAUAUUUAAGCGCAUUUAUUAUAAUAACUCUAGUAAUUAAUCAAAGUAUAUGUGUUGGGUGGUUCUUUUGUGUAAAGUCACUCUAUCGAGCUGUUAAGGCCCAACUGCCUAGUCGUUCAGGUAAGUAGUCUACACCCACUAAAAUUACACAGAACAUUAAAAACACAUCCGAAGCUAUUAAUCUGGGUCCGUGUACGUUUUGUAUUUAGGUGAACGCAGUGAGCCGAAAUGCAGUACUAACGACUGCAUGGCGCUAACGACAAAGAUGGCCGAAAUGAAAGCUGAGAAAAAGGAGUGAGAUAUGUGGCAUCAUAUCUAUAAAUAUGGGUGUUCUCAAGAGGGCUGCCUAGUGACAUGGGAUUAUCAUUUGACAAAGCAACCAGUCCUGUCUGACUAUUUUCUCCUGUCAGACCAGGUCGCGGACACUCCUCUGAGAUUAUUGAAUGUAUCAUUAAGCAUCCCUAAUUGUAAACAUUUUCCAAAUGCGUCUUCACAGAAGGAACCCAAAUUGUUGCAUUGUGACAAUAUACGUAGUUUCAGGAUUACAGGCUUUGAUUUUUAUCCUCAACAGACAGCAGUAAAUAACUCAUCAGGUCUGUUGCAGGGAUUUGAUUUGGGACUCAAUAGCGUGUCUGUUCAUCUUGCCACUGCGAAUGUCAUCAAGAAACAUCUGGCCUGGAGCAGAGACAAUGGGAAAAGUUUCCUUCCAACCGAGUCAUGACUUAAAUGAUGUGAACGUGAGAACUAACAAAAGCAUGAAUAUAUGCAUGAAUUAUUGGCUACACUUUUUAUAUUUUUAUUCAGAUUGUGCAGCUUUUCUUGAGGAUUUAAGGCUUGUUUUUAAGUCGUGCAUUUCCUGAAGGACUUUAGAUGGGUUGCUACUGAUGUGAAGUCAGAAAAACGUUCUAAGCUUGCUUUUCUUAAACGUGUCUUGGCUUUGAACGCUGACAGUGUUUACCAAACAGUUCAUUUUUUUUGUUCCAAGUUUUGUAGGAAAGCUGCUAAUCCAUAUAUAUUCAACAAACCCAUUUGGGAUUGGAAUUGAUAACUUUUUUUUCUUUUCAAGGUCAUUUCACGACCUGUAGCCAUUUCCGUUCGUUCUGUAGAGUGUGCGUUCAUGCCUUACUAUCACUCCUGCUUCACUCUUUCUAUCUGCCCAACACUUUUCAUUAAAAGUCAUAGGUUUGGCUUUGGGGCACUGAUCAAAUGGGAAAAGGAAAUACAUUUUCAUUCCUUGCAGAUAUUUCAGAAGUACCUUAUAUUUACAUAUAGAUUGAGUAUUUAUCGGCAAAGCUGCAGUGAGGGCAGAUUCUCUUGUAGUUCAUUUUCUGAGGCUUUGUUGGAUUUAUGUUUUUUUAAAUGGAUUGAAGAUGUUGAGUGUGCAGUUGUAAUUAUUUGAACUGGAU